ensembl:lncRNA
GUCCUGAAAACAAAACACCAGGAGAUAAGUCCUGCCCGGGACACUCCCCCUCGGAGGGGGAGGCCAGCUCUCUCCUUGGCUAUCUCUGUCAGGUUAAGUCCUCACACCACCUCGGGCACCAUCAGGCCCAAACUUUGCACCAGCCCACAGAGCCAGACACCAGCAUUGUCCGGGGAGCAAUAAUGGCUGUGUUUCCAGCAUCCCUGCCCACUGGCCCUGACAGAUACCGCAGUGGUUCCUGCCAGGAAAUUCCCUGCCACGUGAAAACCCAGAGGAGGAAGCGGAGCCCCAUGGACCUCUCAGGCUCCACCCAGAGUUGCAGGAGUAAAACAAGCCCAUCAUCUCGGGCCCGGGCAUCCACAGGGACCUGGGAGCCUGUGACAAGACACACACCCCCCCCGGCCUCAGGCGGCCGCCUCUGUGCUUACUCUACCAUGUCUGAGGUGGUUUGGGCCCUGUGUACCACUUGAUAGAGCCCUCAGGGGAAAAGUAUUGCCACCUCCAUUUUGCAAACAAGAAAACCAGGGCCAAGAUCUAACUCGAGGUCAGCACCAAGGUCAGCUUCACUCCUUCCGAGGCCACUGGCAAAGUGAGCCUGGGCAUCUGAGGGGAGAUCCUGGUACCCCCAGCCCACCCUCCCAUCCACGGUCUUCCCUGGGCUCUUCUCCUGGUGACCAGGC